CUACGAAAGGUGCAAGCGUUGUUCGGAUUUACUGGGCGUAAAGAGAGUGUAGGUGGUUUAUUAAGUCGGAUGUGAAAUCCCGGGGCUCAACCUCGGAACUGCAUUCGAUACUGAUAGGCUAGAGUUUGGGAGGGGUAAGCGGAAUUCCGUGUGUAGCAGUGAAAUGCGUAGAUAUACGGAGGAACACCUGAGGCGAAGGCGGCUUACUGGACCAAUACUGACACUGAGACUCGAAAGCGUGGGUAGCAAACAGGAUUAGAUACCCUGGUAGUCC
rnacentral:rRNA from 1 species